rnacentral:misc_RNA from 1 species
GAUGAAGAACGUAGUGAAAUGCGAUACGUAAUGUGAAUUGCAGAAUUCAGUGAUUCAUCGAAUCUUUGAACGCACAUUGCGCCUGCCAGCACUCUGGCAGGCAUGCCUGUUCGAGCGUCAUUUCAACCAUCAAGCCCUAGGCUUGCGUUGGAGCCCUGCGGCUGCCGCAGGCCCCUAAAAGCAGUGGCGGGCUCGCUAUCACACCGAGUGCAGUAGAUUACUCUUCGCUCAGGGCGUGUGGCGGGUUCCAGCCGUGAAACCCCUACUUCUCAAGGUUGACCUCGGAUCAGGUAGGAAUACCCGCUGAACUUAAGCAUAUCAAUAAGCGGAGGA